GUCCACGCCCUAAACGAUGUCAACUAGGUGUCGGGAGCGCAAGUUCUUGGUACCGCAGCUAACGCGUGAAGUUGACCGCCUGGGGGAGUACGGUCGCAAGAUUAAAACUCAAAGGAAUUGACGGGGACCCGCACAAGCGGUGGAUGAUGUGGAUUAAUUCGAUGCAACGCGAACAACCUUACCUACCCUUGACAUGUCCAGGAGGCCACUGAGAGGUGGCUGUGCCCGAAAGGGAAUUGGAACACAGGUGCUGCAUGGCUGUCGU
rnacentral:rRNA from 1 species